CCUGAGCAGAUAUGUACGCAGACCCGGCCAGGCCACGAUGCUGUCUGGACUCGGAACCCACGGUUUUGAUCCCUAGAGUAGGGAAUCAACCUGAACGGAUGAACCGAUCGCUGAGUUCCAAUUUCAAUGAUUUCGUUNNNNNNNNUUAGUGGCACUUCAGGGUUAGAUUUCGAUUCUAGUUGUAGGUCUGAAUUUUUUUGGCGAAU
rnacentral:misc_RNA from 1 species